GCACCUCCGGCCUCUGUGUAGAAAAGAUGCCGCAAGUGCCAUCAUCCUAUGACAAGACACACCUGUAACUUCUCUCUUCUCAAGAAAUAUUUUACUGGAGUUCCAACUUUAUGCUUUUUGUUUCCUUUGGCUGUAUGCAAUGUAAGUAGCUAGUCUCUCUUUGGUUGCUGAUCAGAAGAACAUCAAUUUCUUCUUCUUCUUCUACUUGCUCCCGGCCUUUGUAUGAUCUUCUUCUUGUAAAAUGUGUACACAUAUACCAUCUUCUUGGAAAAUUGUUUUCUCUCUAUCCGUGCUUUCUGCUAUUGUUAUUUUAAUGAUCUGCUUUGUUAUUGGAAAAUACAAUAUGACAUUUGUUUUUCAUUUCUUUGUUACAGCUCUUAUUUAUUAUUGCAAUGUACAGUGAAGGUAAGAAUUAGCCUUAAUCAAACUAUACUCUUUCAAAUUAAAUCUUAUAGUCUCUAAUUUCUAUUAGUUCCUUUGUAGCUGCUUGCCUGCAUCAUUAUCUCCUCCCAGUUGCAAAUGCUUUAUUUUAUGUUAAACAUAGUUUACUUGUAUUUCUGAUUGUUUCUUUGAAGGUAUGUAUAGUUGCUUCAAUAGGUAAAACUUAUUUAUUUUAUUACUGGUUUUGCACCAAUAGUUUAUCUACUGAUAUAUAUUAUAUAUAGAUUGAUUUCUUGACUUUGUCAAGCUAGAUUAUCCGUCUUCAGAUAUAUAUUUUUGAAUUUGAUCAAUCCAGC
rnacentral:lncRNA from 1 species